AAAUAAUAUGGGCAAUUCCCAUUACUAAUCCUAACCAUGUACAACAGAGGUCUGUACAGUAACAUAGCAAAAAUAAGUUCCUGUAAUUUUACUUAGUCAUUGCCUGUUUUAGACUAAGGAGCAGUGAGAGACAUUUAUAAAUAAUGAUACCUCAGAUCACUUUUGUUAAAUGUCCUCUAAUAUUUGGAUAUUUGGAUCUGACUUGUGUUAUCUUUUUUUACAAUCUUGUCUUCUUUCUUUGCACUUUAGUGUAACAACUCUGUGAUUUCCUAUCUUCUUUUUCAGACACUCAGGUCCAUCAGAAUUUCCUGUGACUGUGACAGUAGAGAGUCCUUCCUCCUCAGAAAUCGAAGAGGUCGAUGAUUCCUCAGAAAGUGUUCAGGAAGAGCCAGAGAAAAUCCGUUUGAAACAAGAAGCACUGCAGAUGUGAUGUAUUCAUUUCCUUCACGAAUAGACCAGGAGAUUGUAUUUCUAAAAGCAAUGAUAGACACUGGGGAAGACCAAGAAGUUUAAACACUGGACCACAGAAUAGCAGAUUCAGAAGGCACUGAGAACCCUUUUAGCUCUUCUCCGUUUUCACAAGACACUACAAUGAUGGUAUCAAAGUGUUUAAAUAUAUAAGCCCACAAGAAUCAAGAGGUUUCAACAUAGUUUUGAAAGACGGAAGACAAGUGGAAGAGUGUGAAACUGAAGCAGUAGAACAGAGGAAAAGCAUCACGUAGAAUAUGCACAGCGACCACCUGCAACUGAGGAGGAUUCUGACCCCACCUGCAGAAGUAGGCCCAUGCUCAGAUGCGCAUGUAGGAGAGAGGGUGGAGUUAGUUAAAAGUGUGACUGAAUAGGGGAGCUCAUUGAAGGGUUGUGUUUGGAGGAGUGGACUCCCAGCCCCGCCCUCACACUCCUGAAAUGAGAUUAUUUCAUUUUGAAACCAGUGAAACUGGCAAGAACUAGGGCAGCUAGUGUGAGUUUUUACACCCUAGAAAAUUGUGUUUGGGGGAGAUCCUAUUACAGUUACUCCCCGCUUUUUCCUGCAUAAGAAACCAAUCAAUCGUUGACUUCAGGGAGCUUUCUGCACUCAUACUUAAAUAGAAAAUAACUGUCAUUUGCGUGAUAGUUGAGUAAAGCUUCCAACAUGAGAGGGGGAAAAAGAGUGAAAACGUAUCCUAGUAGGACCAGGGACAAUUUAGGGAACAAAAUAAUUUAAGAAAAAACCCUAAUUAGUAUCCUGAGAGAGGUUUAAAAAGAGCUAUAAAAAAGCUAUAAAAUAAGAUUAGGGUGUUAAUUAAAAAGAGAAUGGUCAGAAAGCAAGAGAGGUCUCUUGGAAAUGAAAAUGUGGUUGCUGAAAUAAAUUCAGUAGGAAUUUUAAAAAUUUCUCAGUAUAUAAAAAAGAAAGACACAAUGGAAAAUGUGAUAGAAAUAUGUUAGAGAGGCUGCAUCUGGGAGAUCCAACAUGUUACUAUUAGAAACUCCAGACCCAGAACAAAAAUGGAAGGAAGCUGUCAAAGGGCAACAAAAUUCCCCACAGCUGAAAGUAGACAUCAGGCCUCAGACUGAAAACAGUUACGCAAGAUGAGCAAGAAUAGACUCAUACCUAGGCACCCUUCAUUGUGAAACUUUAAAAUACUGAAAAAAUAAAAUAGAAUAAAAUACUGAGAGGAUACAUCCAUUCCAGAGAGAAAAAUACUGGCCACCUAAAAAAAAGAGUUAAAAUCUGACCUUAUCAUACUUGUCAUCAGCGCCAUGGAUCCUGGAAGGCAUUAGAAAGAUACCUCCAAAGUUUUUCAGGCACAUAAUUUUCACCCUAGGGGUUUGUAUCCAGCCAAACUAUCAGUCAUAAGUGGAGGCUGAAGAAGAUAUUUUGUACACAAAGAAAUUUGAAAAAUUGACCUCCUGUGCUACACCUUAAGCUAUUUAUAGAAAUAAUCCAGCAAAAUGAGGCAGUAAACCAAGAAGGAAGGUAAUAGGGGAUUCGGUGCAGAUUGCAGCCAGUCUAGGGUGGAGAGGCUUCUAUUGAUUGUGUGAUUGAGAGCUGAGAAACACCUUGAGGCAUGUUGUACUUACUUGGUAUUAGGCACUGUUGGAAGGGAGGAGGGAGAGGAAGAGGAGAGGGAACUUGAACUCCAGAGGACGAAAGGCUAUAUGGACAUAAACAUGAAGCAAACUAAACUAUCAUUGAUUUUUAACGUACUGUUGGUGAGGAAGAGAAGAAUCCACUUAAACUUGACACUAUAGAUGUCCCCCUUUUCAGUGACACACAGGGGUAAUGACCACCUGUCUAAUUUGUUGUCCAAACCAGAACUUAUCCAAACUCCUUACACUUCAAUAGUGUAAGGAGGCGCUCUAAUGCUGUAACAUCAGGACAACAGGUAUAAACUGGAACAGCCCAAGGCGGCUUGGGGUAUGUGGUCACCCUGCACAAGGGCAGUGACACUGGCACAGUAUGGAACAAGGUGUAGUCUGUACACAGAGACACAGUACAUCUGCAGUGGGCAAUAUUAAUUUAAUUGUAAUAAUGGCAAUACUGUCUUGGUUUGCAGCUUUUAUCGUCAACUUGCAUGUAAUCACUAAUAACUAAAGUAAACUAUACUUAGUAUGUAUUAGUAUUAAGUUGGUAUGUACUGAAAUGUAUUGUGUACUAGUAUGUACUUAGUAUAUAUUAGGCUCUAAGUGUUUUUGCAUAUAUUAACUCAUUUAAUCCUCUGAAUAGCCUUAUGAGGUUGGUGCUAAUAUCAUUCCCACUUUUUUUUUUUUUUUUUUUUUUGCGGUACACGGGCCUCUCACUGUUAUGGCUUCUCCCGUUGCGGAGCACAGGCUCUGGAUGUGCAGGCCCAGCGGCCAUGGCUCACGGGCUCAGCUGCUCCGUGGCAUGUGGGAUCCUCCCAGACCGGAGCACGAAUCCGUGUCCCCUGCAUCGGCAGACGGACUCCGAACCACUGUGCCACCAGGGAUGCCCCAUUCCCACUUUUGAGAACAGGUAACUAAGACAGGGAAGGAACUUGCCCAGGCUGUACCUAUUUUAAGGUUGGAUUGAGGCUUUGAGUUGAGGCUCUCUGCCUGUUCUCUUAAACCUUACUCCUUACUGACUCUCGAAUAACAGAAGACUUAACUGCACAUAGAACAGAAUAUAAAUUUCAACUUUGACAACGUAAAAGCUAGGUUUGGAAGGUAGACAGGAGGUAGAAGAAAGGGAAGAUGGUAUGAAUGUCCUCAUUUUACAAAGCGUGACGUUGAGAGAGUUUAUAGUUGAUCAACAAUGUAGGUUUUUAAGUAUAUCACUACAAGUCAAAGAGAUCAUGAGCAGUGGAAUAACUCAUGAUGACAUAACUUUACAGAGCAGUGUGGACAUAGGAAAGAGUGUAAAGGAACUAAACCCUUACUUAUUAGUAAGUUAGAAAGUGAACAGAUAAUGCCUCCAAUUUAGUGAGAAAAUAGUCAUGUAAGAGUAUUACUUGGAAAUGGAGAAGAAUUCAAAAUAACAAUAGUUGGACCUCCCUGGUGGCGCAGUGGUUAAGAAUCUGCCUGCCAAGGCAGGGGACACGGGUUCGAGCCCUGGUCUGGGAAGAUCCCACAUGCUGCGGAGCAGCGAAGCCCGUGCGCCACAACUACGGAGUCUACGCUCUAGAGCCUGCGAACCACAACUACUGAGCCCACGUGUCACAACUACUGAAGCCCGCGUGCCUAGAUCCUGUGCUCCAUGACAAGAGAAGCCACCACAAUGAAGAGUAGCCCCCGCUCGCUGCAACUAGAGAAAGACUGCACGCAGCAACGAAGACCCAACACAGCCAAAAAUAAAUAAAUAGUAAUAAAAAAAUAAAUAAAAAAUAA